ACGGCUUCGGAAGAGCGAUCCGAGAGCUGGCAGAACCCCUGUCUCCUGCGUGAGCGAUCGCGGGAGGCACCGUUCUGUGCAACGGAAUUCCGAAGAAAGUUGGUGCGUUCGUAGAGAAACUAAGUAGCGCGGCGAACUUGUAAUCACCGAUGCCGCAUCGCUCGGGAAGGACAGAGUUCUUCUCGCGGCCUCAGUAGCCU
rnacentral:sRNA from 1 species